rnacentral:rRNA from 1 species
AUUGAACGCUGGCGGCAUGCCUAACACAUGCAAGUCGAACGGCAGCACAGCAGUAGCAAUACUGUGGGUGGCGAGUGGCGGACGGGUGAGGAAUACGUCGGAAUCUGCCCAGUCGUGGGGAUAACUAGCCGAAAGGUUAGCUAAUACCGCAUACGACCGAGAGGUGAAAGCGGGGACCGCAAGGCCUCGCGCGAUUGGAUGAGCCGACGUCGGAUUAGCUAGUUGGCGGGUAAAGGCCACCAAGGCGACGAUCCGUAGCUGGUCUGAGAGGAUGAUCAGCCACACUGGAACUGAGACACGGUCCAGACUCCUACGGGAGGCAGCAGUGGGGAAUAUUGGACAAUGGGCGCAAGCCUGAUCCAGCAAUGCCGCGUGUGUGAAGAAGGCC